AUUACACUAAAUCAUUGUGUAUCCCUCCGUGGUCCAUUCGAAAGUAGUGCCUAUUUCUAAAGAGUUCCUUUUCUCUUCUUGAAUAUAGGCCAUUUAACAAUGUGAGACAUGUCUUUUGUGGUUAUUUGUAAUAUCCUGUAUGUGUCUGGAGUACUUUGAUGCCUUGGAUUGGAAGCUAACUUAAAAGAUGAACUUUUGAGGGUGUGUUUUCUAUUGUGUGGGGCUUUUGUCGAAAUUAGGAUUCCGAAACACGUUUUUCUACGGUGGGUUCAUUCGACAGCGAUUUACUUUCUUAGAAGUUGCGAGACGGUAUGUUUUUGAUUGCAAUUAUUGGAAGAUGACAGAUCCAUCUUUAAAAUGAUACCAGGUUCGGAAAAAUUGAUACGUCGGAAAGGCAAGAAAAAUGCUGUGAAAGUUGUCAGUUUUAUAAUGGGACCCUAUGGGAAUCGGAAUUAGUGUAAUAUAACCUUUAAAAAGCACAUUUACUGCAAUGUCAAGGUCACAUGGAUUCGUCUGCAAGCGAGACAAGUAGAAAAUGAAUUUUAAUGAAUGUUUUGAUGAUUUGGGUGCUAAAAUAGAUGAGAGGUGUCAAUAUUUUGGUCCUAUUGGAUGUUUUAGGUGGUUUUGGACUGUUCCGGAUGGGUGGGGGACCUGGUAUGGACAAGUAAGGGUAACAUUUCCAACAAAUCUUAAAUGUAAAUAUUAUUAUGUCCAUAGAUUGAAGUUUCAGGUGGAGAGCAAGAUGAAAAAUAUGCAAAAUUACAUGCAUGCAACCCAUUUAUGCCAUUUUUCUCUUUGUUUGUAGGCCUGACCGUUUGUCCUUGAGCCGUAGAUGGUCAACAAUCCGCUAGAUGUCUUGCUCUGACUGGUGCACUGGACAUGAUUUCAAUAGUCAGCCAGACCAUGAUUGAGCUUAAGGGUUGUGCUGCGGAUGCAGCCUGUGCAGUUCCGGGAGAAAGUCACUGUCUUGGGCAAUGCGGUCUGGUAUCAGGUCUGGAUGAUCCUUGCCUGACUGCGGGUUUGUGUACACCUCAAUCCGACUCUGUGUCCUGAACAGAGGCCGCAGACGUGCAGCGCUUGUGGACGAUCCAUCAACAUCCUGAAAGGUCAACACUACACCAAGCUGGGAAAAUUGAUCCUGAUAGUCAUCCCCAGGUAGUGGAAUGAAUGUUCACUGAACUACAGAGGAAUCACACCCAAAUGACUUUCCUGCCACGACAUUAGUGUGGCCACUCGCGUAGGAAUUCCUUAGCAAACAUGCUCUUUUGCAUGGUGACUGUGGACAUUUUUGCAAAACUUACGCUUUCAACACUGGAUUUUAAAGAGAAUACUUAAUAAAAUGUCGCUAACAGGACUUAUUUAUAUGAGAGAGACUAUCUGGAUGCGCAUUAAGUGUCACUUUGUGUCGUAAGCUGUUGACGGAGCGAUUUGCGCCUUUUUAAGUGUUAAUUUUGGGUAGCCGGCUUGUAUCGGCUUGAAAGCUGCAAAUUAUGCCUCUCAUCAUAAUAGCAUUAAUUUUUGUAAUUGCAAUGUGUAUGUUUAGAUUGUAAGUGAAGCUUUUAAUAAUAAUUUUCUUAAAAAACAUGAUUUUAUAUGCUCUCAGUGAGUUUUUUAUUGAAAAAAGUGCUUAAAAUUUUAAAAAAGUCUCCUAUUUCAUCAAGAAAAGUACACUGAUUCACAAUCAAUACAUUUAUUUGGGCCUUUUGCUGAUAUAUUGGUGAAUUUCGCAUGCAAUGAUACCAGUUUUUGCCAUGAAAGUUACGCGUAACAAUAAUUGGAGACGCAAAAUCAGCUGUCGUCACUUAGACUAAAAAUCAUGCAUUCCGACUUGACUGCGGCCAAUUUAGUCACCGCUUUAAAUGGCCAUUUUAAGGCCUUUACCCCCAUCCGAAUGCACUGAAAUUGCAUAUUCAUUGUGGAAAUAGUUGAAAUCUCAUGUGGAGAAAGUUUGAAAAAGAUAGGACAAAGUUGAGUUCCCUUAAAGGUUACAUUACACUAAAUCAUUGUGUAUCCCUCCGUGGUCCAUUCGAAAGUAGUGCCUAUUUCUAAAGAGUUCCUUUUCUCUUCUUGAAUAUAGGCCAUUUAACAAUGUGA